AGGGAUUGCGCCAGUAACUGCGAGUGAAGCGGCAACAGCCCAGAUUUGAAAUCCGGCUCUCCCGUGAGGGAGUCAGAGUUGUAAUCUGUAGAGGAUGUCGCUGGCCAACAGCUACUUUGAAGUCCCCUGGAACGGGGUGCCAGAGAGGGUGAGAGCCCCGUACGGAGUAGACCGGAUGGUCAUGAUGCGGCUCCAUCGGCGAGUCGAGUAGUUUGGGAAUGCUGCUCUAAAUGGGAGGUAAAUUCCUUCUAAGGCUAAAUAUCGGCCGGAGACCGAUAGCGCACAAGUAGAGUGAUCGAAAGAUGAAAAGUACUUUGAAAAGAGGGUUAAACAGUACGUGAAAUUGUUGAAAGGGAAGCGCCCGCGACUAGACUUGUAUCUGAAUGGUCGCCCUACCCUCGUCGUAGGGUCUCCCAGUCCGGUUUACAGGCCAGCAUCGAUUUGUGUUGGGGGAUAAGAGCAGUGGGAACGUGGCUCGUUUUUUUGCGAGUGUUUAUAGCCCGCUGUAUAGUACUCUACUGCAGAUCGAGGAACGCGUCGUUGACACAGAUGCUGGCGUAAUGG
rnacentral:rRNA from 1 species